AGAGUUGAUCAUGGCUCAGGAUGAACGCUGGCGGCGUGCCUAACACAUGCAAGUCGAACGGGUUAAGGGAAAUUUCGGAUGGACCUUAACUUAGUGGCGGACGGGUGAGUAACGCGUGGAUAACCUGCCUCACACUGGGGGAUAGCAGCUGGAAACGGCUGGUAAUACCGCAUAAGACCACAGCACCGCAUGGUGCAGGGGUAAAAGAUUUAUCGGUGUGAGAUGGAUCCGCGUCUGAUUAGCCAGUUGGCGGGGUAACGGCCCACCAAAGCGACGAUCAGUAGCCGGCCUGAGAGGGUGAACGGCCACAUUGGGACUGAGACACGGCCCAAACUCCUACGGGAGGCAGCAGUGGGGAAUAUUGCACAAUGGGCGCAAGCCUGAUGCAGCAACGCCGCGUGAGUGAAGAAGUAUUUCGGUAUGUAAAGCUCUAUCGGCAGGGAAGAAAGGCCCUUAACAGGGAGAUGACGGUACCUGACUAAGAAGCCCCGGCUAACUACGUGCCAGCAGCAGC
rnacentral:rRNA from 1 species